CACGUAGGGCGCAAGCGUUGUCCGGAAUUAUUGGGCGUAAAGAGCUCGUAGGCGGUCUGUUGCGUCCGCUGUGAAAACUCGGGGCUUAACCCCGAGCCUGCAGUGGAUACGGGCAGACUAGAGGUAGGUAGGGGAGAAUGGAAUUCCCGGUGUAGCGGUGAAAUGCGCAGAUAUCGGGAGGAACACCGGUGGCGAAGGUGGUUCUCUGGGCCUUACCUGACGCUGAGGAGCGAAAGCGUGGGGAGCAAACAGG
rnacentral:rRNA from 1 species